GGAAGCUCAUCUACUGAGUGAUAAAAAAAAAAUAUUAAAACAGGUCAUGAUGGCACUAGUAUCCCAUAUUCAAAGUUACGAGACUUCCAGAGAAGAGGAAGACCCCGUAGCUUCUUUAGUUUCAGAUGAAAUUUCUUCAGUUGCUUACUCGGCCUAAGCAAGCCUGACGCCGCCUUUGAGCAGACGAUUCACGCGCAAUUUUUAGUCUGACUCCAAGGCUAUAUAGUGAGUCGGGGGCCAAGGCUCCGAUAGGACCGGGAGCCCGAAUAAAUCUUCCGACGAGGGGUUUGAAGGGCCCUAAAGAGGAAGUCCUUUCCCUCUUGAUAUUCAAGACUGGACUUCCUGCUGCAAUUUCUGACAUGAUUGCUAAUUUAAAUGAUACGGAUAAGACAAGUCCUACAAGUCUUGUGGAUGAUACCAUGGCCGGGGGUCUAUUGGCAACAGUCUCUCUAUCUUCACAAGAUAGGGUAAGGUCUGUGUACACACUACCCUUCCCAAACCCCACUAUGCGGGAUUAUACUGGGAUGAUCAUGCGUAUACCAACAAUCCUGACAUCCGGUUCAUGUAGUGCACAAGCCGUUGGAAGAAGAUUUAUUUUUUGGGUUACUAUUAGAAUAGUACUUAAGGACCUUGGAUAUAUGAUGCUUUUGUUCGUUUUGUAAGUAAAAAUAUACUUUUUAGGACUAUUUAGUUUUUGAAAGUUAGUA